rnacentral:rRNA from 1 species
UCGCCCUUCUGGAGUUUGGCAGAGGGGGGUGGAAUUCCACGUGUAGCAGUGAAAUGCGUAGAGAUGUGGAGGAACACCAAUGGCGAAGGCAGCCCCCGGGGUCGAUACUGACGCUCAUGCACGAAAGCGUGGGUAGCAAACAGGAUUAGAUACCCUGGUAGUCCACGCCCUAAACGAUGUCAACUAGGUGUUGGGUGGGUAAAACCUUUUAGUGCCGUAGCUAAC